rnacentral:rRNA from 1 species
AGAGUUUGAUCCUGGCUCAGGAUGAACGCUGGCGGCGUGCCUAAUACAUGCAAGUCGAGCGAACGGACGAGAAGCUUGCUUCUCUGAUGUUAGCGGCGGACGGGUGAGUAACACGUGGAUAACCUACCUAUAAGACUGGGAUAACUUCGGGAAACCGGAGCUAAUACCGGAUAAUAUUUUGAACCGCAUGGUUCAAAAGUGAAAGACGGUCUUGCUGUCACUUAUAGAUGGAUCCGCGCUGCAUUAGCUAGUUGGUAAGGUAACGGCUUACCAAGGCAACGAUGCAUAGCCGACCUGAGAGGGUGAUCGGCCACACUGGAACUGAGACACGGUCCAGACUCCUACGGGAGGCAGCAGUAGGGAAUCUUCCGCAAUGGGCGAAAGCCUGACGGAGCAACGCCGCGUGAGUGAUGAAGGUCUUCGGAUCGUAAAACUCUGUUAUUAGGGAAGAACAUAUGUGUAAGUAACUGUGCACAUCUUGACGGUACCUAAUCAGAAAGCCACGGCUAACUACGUGCCAGCAGCCGCGGUAAUACGUAGGUGGCAAGCGUUAUCCGGAAUUAUUGGGCGUAAAGCGCGCGUAGGCGGUUUUUUAAGUCUGAUGUGAAAGCCCACGGCUCAACCGUGGAGGGUCAUUGGAAACUGGAAAACUUGAGUGCAGAAGAGGAAAGUGGAAUUCCAUGUGUAGCGGUGAAAUGCGCAGAGAUAUGGAGGAACACCAGUGGCGAAGGCGACUUUCUGGUCUGUAACUGACGCUGAUGUGCGAAAGCGUGGGGAUCAAACAGGAUUAGAUACCCUGGUAGUCCACGCCGUAAACGAUGAGUGCUAAGUGUUAGGGGGUUUCCGCCCCUUAGUGCUGCAGCUAACGCAUUAAGCACUCCGCCUGGGGAGUACGACCGCAAGGUUGAAACUCAAAGGAAUUGACGGGGACCCGCACAAGCGGUGGAGCAUGUGGUUUAAUUCGAAGCAACGCGAAGAACCUUACCAAAUCUUGACAUCCUUUGACAACUCUAGAGAUAGAGCNNNNNNNNNNNNNNNNNNNNNNNNNNNNNNNNNNNNNNNNNNNNNNNUUCCCCUUCGGGGGACAAAGUGACAGGUGGUGCAUGGUUGUCGUCAGCUCGUGUCGUGAGAUGUUGGGUUAAGUCCCGCAACGAGCGCAACCCUUAAGCUUAGUUGCCAUCAUUAAGUUGGGCACUCUAAGUUGACUGCCGGUGACAAACCGGAGGAAGGUGGGGAUGACGUCAAAUCAUCAUGCCCCUUAUGAUUUGGGCUACACACGUGCUACAAUGGACAAUACAAAGGGCAGCGAAACCGUGAGGUCAAGCAAAUCCCAUAAAGUUGUUCUCAGUUCGGAUUGUAGUCUGCAACUCGACUACAUGAAGCUGGAAUCGCUAGUAAUCGUAGAUCAGCAUGCUACGGUGAAUACGUUCCCGGGUCUUGUACACACCGCCCGUCACACCACGAGAGUUUGUAACACCCGAAGCCGGUGGAGUAACCUUUUAGGAGCUAGCCGUCGAAGGUGGGACAAAUGAUUGGGGUGAAGUCGUAACAAGGUAGCCGUAUCGGAAGGUGCGGCUGGAUCACCU